GGAUGUGAGGGGGACCUGGCUGUGAUAUCUGUCAGCACAUGGACAGCCAGGGUUGAGGCGGCUGGUCUGGCUGGCUGGUCAGGUGUCCCCUUCCUCCCUCACUGUAUCACGUGCAUCCCCUUCAGCAAAGAGGAUGACCACGCCCAUUAGAGGAGGACGGGUUUCUGGGUCAAGGGUACACACAUAGCCGCACUCCCCUGCUAGCACCUCCGAAGACGCUCUCAAUAACAACAUGAAUCACACAUGUACAUGACUUCAGCGUUUCUGUUUCAGAGAACCCCCAGAU
rnacentral:snRNA from 1 species